AGGGAUGUAGCGCAGCUUGGUAGCGCCUUUUUUUUGGGUAAAAAAUAUCACGGGUUCCAAUCCUGUCAUCCCUA
rnacentral:tRNA from 1 species